GAUGAACGCUGGCGGCAGGCUUAAUACAUGCAAGUCGUGCGGCAGCAGGUUUGUAGGAAUACAGAUGCUGGCGACCGGCAAACGGGUGAGUAGCACGUACGCAACUUACCCAUUACUGGUGAAUAGCGCAGGGAAACUUGGAUUAAUACACCAUAACAUAUAGAGAAGGCAUCUUUUUUAUAUUAAAGCUUCGGCGGUAUUGCAUGGGCGUGCGGUUGAUUAGAUAGUUGGCGAGGUAACGGCCCACCAAGGAUACGAUCAAUAGCUGAUGUGAGAGCAUGAUCAGCCACACGGGCACUGAGACACGGGCGCGACUCCUACGGGACGCAGCAGUAAGGAAUAUUGGGCAAUGGACGAAAGUCUGACCCAGCCAUGCCGGGUGAAGGAUGAAGGUCAUCGGGAUUGUAAACUUCUUUUAUCUAGCGCGAAAACCUCCCUUUCUAGGGGGCUUGACAGUACCAGAAGAAUAAGCACCGGCUAACUCCGUGCCAGCCGCCGCAGUAA
rnacentral:rRNA from 1 species